GAUUUAUGGGUCAGUUGGCAUGACCCUGGUUUCUGCAGAAUUCUGCAGGAAGCUUUUCUCCAUGGAGCCAUAGCUGAGCAUGUAGGCGGGUCAUGACUCCUCCUUUAGCUGUGCCUGGAGCCAGGGGACUGGAUGGGAACAGUCACUGCUUUAUCUUGGAAGUGCUGAACACUCCAGGUCUCCAUCUCCUGCCUCCAGACCUCCAGAGCUCUGGCCCAGGGAAAGAAUGUGGUAACAUCUGUGGGCUCUCCAGACAGGAAUAAACAUGUCAGCUCUGGAGCCGGGGAGGCAGCGGGAUCGUGCUGCUGUCUUUGGGUCACUCCUCGCUGCUGCUCUCAUUGUGACUGUCCACAGUGCCUGCGAUGCUCCGCCGCGUUUCCAGUCUGCAGAGCUCAAGGAGGAGUAUCGGGGCACUUCCUCGUUUCCCCACAAAUCCAAGGUGCAAUAUGUCUGUCGUCCAGGUUAUGUGAAAAAAACUUAUGUCAAUCA